rnacentral:rRNA from 1 species
GUGAGGAAUUUUCCGCAAUGGGCGAAAGCCUGACGGAGCAAUGCCGCGUGAAGGAUGAAGGCCUAUGGGUUGUAAACUUCUUUUCUUAGAGAAGAAUAUUGACGGUAUCUGAGGAAUAAGCAUCGGCUAACUCUGUGCCAGCAGCCGCGGUAAGACAGAGGAUGCAAGCGUUAGCCGGAAUGAUUGGGCGUAAAGCGUCUGUAGGUGGCUUCAAAAGUCUCCUGUCAAAGAUCAGGGCUUAACCCUGGGCCGGCAGGAGAAAAUCUGAGGCUAGUGUUUGGUAGGUGAAGAGGGAAUACCCGGUGGAGCGGUGAAAAGCGUAGAGAUCGGGAGGAACACCAAAGGCGAAAGCACUCUGCUGGGCCACAACUGACACUGAGAGACGAAAGCGAGGGGAGCAAAAGGGAUUAGAUACCCCUGUAGUCC